AAUUUUUCAGUUUGUUGGGUCAAAGUCAAUCCUUUUUGUGUGAAUAUACAAUAGGGUCCAGCUCUCUAGGCAUCCAGUUUAAAAUCUCUGGAUUGAAGCACCAUUCUUUCAAGUUUCUCUCGUUUUGGUUUAGCCAGCUGGCUCUUAUGUUUUGAGAUCCUUUGGUGGGGGUUACUUUUAUUCAUUUUAUGUUUCCAUCUGCCCAAGAGAACAGCAUUGGGGCAUUCUUUAAGAAGGCUCAGCUCUUGGCCACUCCUGGCUGGUUGACAAUACAUUACUGUUUUGACAUAGUCCAACUUUGCCAACAUAUUUGCCACUGACUAGUUGAAUUAACUCAAGCAAUUAAUUUCCUGUUGAUAUAGUAAGAUUUAUGUGUUCACCCUAACCAUGUAUCAAAAUGGUGGGAUCCCCAUCUUGUUACACUAACAUCUGUUUUAAUAUUCUCCCUUCGUGAUGUUAUAAAGGGCAAGUUCCGGUUCCUCUGAUUUUCUGUGGGAGAAGUAGUUUCUUCACUAUGUUCCUGAAAAACUGCAGGAAUGUUGAGAUGGACUGAACAACUGUUCCAUCUGGUUUAGAUUUCUAAUUUUGGUCAGAAAUCUUGUCCAAAAUGAUCAAAACCUUGAUGGUCUCUGUGAUAAAUAACCUGAACAAUAGCAGAUCCCAUGGAAACUGAAAUUUUUGUUGAUGAGAGGAAUAAAAGGAGCUUCUGGAUUUGUGAUUCUCUUAUUGUCUCACAUACCAGUUAACAUGGCUGGACUAUACUUCCUGUCAUCUAGCAAGGGGACCAGAAGAUACUUACCUGACAUUUUCAAAGAGAGCCACAUAAUUCCCACUGAUUACAGAAAGUUGAAAAUUUCCUCUUUCUAAAUGUGGAGGUUAUGAUUCAAGUUAAUUUUAACAUUCAAAUGAGCAGUUGAGGCCUUUGAGGUAUGCCUAUCGCUAUCAAUACCCUUACAGGUAGGAGAAAAUAAAUGGGAUCAGGAGUUUCAGUCGCAAAAAACCUUAAAACACAAAAAACUAGGUCAUUUAAUACAUGACUCAGGGACCAACACAGGAUAUUGACAUAUAGUUCUGUAUUCUUCAUUGUUUUGCCCAGUCUCGUCGUAAUUGCCCCAAGUAUGUGGUUUCCACCAUUUCAUUUGAGAAACUACUUUGUAAUAUACUAGAUCUUAGGUACGAAUUUUUUUCUGAUAUUCGUCCUUUUCACCAACACCACCAAAGAAAAAAAGGCUUGUUUUCACUCUACCAUCUCCCACCCUCCAAUGUUAGUCUACAACAAUACAAUUAAAAGCAACUCUGUUAGCACUUAUUUAUGAGUUUUAUAUUCUUUCACUUCAGUUCAUUUUCAUGCAGCAUUUGGUCUGGCUAGCUGUUGUAAGUUGCUAUAUCCAAUUCUACAAAGUGUUACUGGAAAUACUUAUGUAUUCAAGUUGCUAUACACAAAUACAUUAAAUUGAGUUA